GAAUCUGCCCGAUAGUGGGGGAUAACCUGGGGAAACCCAGGCUAAUACCGCAUACAUCCUACGGGAGAAAGGGGGCUCCGGCUCCCGCUAUUGGAUGAGCCUAUGUCGGAUUACCUAGUUGGUAAGGUAAUGGCUUACCAAGGCAACGAUCCGUAGCUGGUCUGAUAGGAUGAUCAGCCACAUCGGGACUGAGACACGGCCCGAACUCCUACGGGAGGCAGCAGUGGGGAAUAUUGGACAAUGGGGGCAACCCUGAUCCAGCCAUGCCGCGUGUGUGAAGAAGGCCCUCGGGUUGUAAAGCACUUUCAGCGAGGAAGAACGCCUAUC
rnacentral:rRNA from 1 species